GUUGUCGUCGUGAUAUUAAGUUGAGAGAAGCAUUAAGCGGAGCAUUGACUAUUGUAUCACUGGUUGAUUAUGUCACUCAAAUCCAGUGUUCCACUUCUUAAUAAAGUAGAAUAAUGGAACAGUAGUCAAUUAUAUUCAAGCAGUAUAUUCCAGUCAAGAAGAUAGGAAAAAUGAAUGAGAAAGCAACGAAAAGUGGUAGAAGAUAAAUCUGUUACUCAGACACACAUGAUUCACUUACCGAUGGGUGCAUUUACUGGAAUAUUAAUAUUGUUGCAAGCAGUCAGACAAGCAUCAUGUCCUACUGUUGUCCAGUGUCCAACUGUAAUUGCUAUGGUAGGUCUUCCUGCUCGUGGCAAGACUUAUAUUUCAAAGAAACUUACUCGUUACCUAAAUUGGAUUGGAAUUAAAACAAAAGUUUUCAAUGUUGGUGAAUAUAGGAGAGCAGCUACUGAUAAAUAUAAAAGCCAUGACUUUUUUAGACCUGACAAUAAGGAGGCUCUCGAAAUAAGACAUAAAUGUGCUCUGUUAGCUAUUGAAGAUGCUCGUGCUUAUCUCUCGAGUGGUGGUGAAGUUGCUGUUGUUGAUGCUACAAAUACAGCCAGAGAGAGGCGAAAGUUAUUGGUGGAUUUCUUUACUGUACAAAAUAACUUCAAACUGUUUUUUGUGGAAUCACUCUGUGAUGAUCCAUCUAUAAUUGAAGCAAAUAUCUUGGAAGUCAAGAUUUGCAGCCCUGACUACAUAGGAAUGGAUAAAAAUGAAGCAGUAGGUGACUUUUUGCAACGGAUCAAGCACUAUGACCAGACGUAUGAAAAAUUAGACUAUAUUCAUGAUCGCAACAUGUCUUUUAUCCAGAUAUUUAAUCAAGGGGAGCGAUUUUUAGUAAAUAAAUUAGCAGGACAUCUUCAAAGCCGUGUUGUAUACUACCUCAUGAAUAUUCAUGUCCUUCCAAGAACAAUUUACCUCACUAGGCAUGGAGAAAGUUUGAUGAAUCUGGAAGGGAAGAUUGGUGGUGAUAGUGAUCUCUCUGACCGUGGAUGGCAGUAUGCUAGAUCAUUAUCUGAGUUUGUGAAGAAUGAAAAUAUCCAAGAUCUUAAGGUAUGGACAAGUGAAAUGAAAAGGACAAAGCAAACUGCUCAGUAUAUUGAUAGUCCUACAGAGCACUGGAAAACUUUAAAUGAAAUUGAUGCUGGCAUCUGUGAAGGCAUGACAUAUGAAGAAAUUCAUGAAAAGCAUCCAGAUGAAUUUGCCCUCAGAGACCAAGACAAAUUCCAUUACAGAUAUCCCGGUGGUGAAUCUUACCAAGAUUUAGUUGCACGGUUAGAACCUGUUAUUAUGGAGCUUGAACGACAAGAAAAUGUUAUGGUAAUUUGUCACCAAGCAGUUGCCAGAUGUCUGCUUGCAUACUUCCAAGACAAAAAUUCUGAGGAAAUCCCAUAUGUACCUGUCCCAUGUGAGACUUUAGUGAAAAUGACUAUGACACCAUUUGGUACAUGUGUGCUGGAAGAGAUACCCUUGCUCAGUGGAUCUUCCGUAUCUGAAGGUACCACUUCACACAGUCAUCAAACUAACACCAGUGGCAUAUGGUUGUAGAGUUGAAUUUUGUCCAUUAAAUAUCAAGGCUGUGGACACUCACCGGGACAAACCUACAAUCUUGCAUCGUGGGAGAUCUCGAACUGAAGCCCUUGACACAUGUCCACCAUGUGAUCAGGAUGAAUGAUUAAAUCAAAUUUCUUUUCAAGAAUUUCAAAUAUUUCAAAUCCGUCUUUACACACUGCUGAUUUAUUAUAUUACUCCUGCAUGUAGUUAUUGCUUACAACCAUAAAAGGAUGUCAUAGAAAGCAUUAAGAACAGCUUGAAGUCUGCUGGGAAGUUUUUAUACUGUAUUGGAAUUUUGUUGAUUUUUGCACUGUUGCUCUUAAUGCUUUUUCAUUUUAUCCAUCCAUUAACAUUAUGAGACAUAUCUCACCAAACAUAACAAAAAUAAAUCCAGAAGCAGGUAUAUUUAGGGCAAUUAAACUUUUUGCGCGUGCGCACACACACACACACACACACACACACACACACACACACACACACACACACACACAGUUUACCUAAGCAUAAUUGCUUUUGAACUUUAUUUUCUGUUUAAAGCAAAGUGAUAUUUAACAGUCUUAUGGGCUUUACAUUUGAAGUUGUUGGUGCUCCCUAUUUUUAACAGUUUAUAGAUUUACUAUUGGUUGUGCCUAAUAUAAACUGACCCUUCUUAAUACUCUAAAUUGUCUAAAAAAUUAAUUUUGAGGCUGAAGAAUGUUCAAAAAUUUUAUUUUUUUAUAUAUCUUAUUUUUAAAAUGUCUUUUAUUUCCUUUUCCAAAUUUUAAAAGAAAAAAUGCUAAGUGGUUUAAUAUUAAUACUCACUCAAUUUUAUAUUUCUAUUUAACAGCAUUUAAAACAAUUUUUCAUUUUAUCUCACAAUAACUAAUGCUUGGGUGUUUUAUCAAUGGGUAGACUUUUUAAUUCCCGACUUGGAUAUUUAUUGGUAGUUUGCUCAUAAAUUUCAGAGAAUUUUUUGUUUUAUGGUUUAAAUUGAUUUUAACAUGUUUGAUGAUUUAUUGGGUUAUCCUGAUUUCUAAAGAUAACUAUUUGUUGAUAAGUAAAUAUAUAAAAAAGAAAAGAGGAAAUCAAAUAGGCAUUUAUUGCCUAAUGCAAUAUUACUCUGGGGAUUAGGACAUAUGCUAAAUAUUUCUAUGCAUUUACAUGUGUGGGUUAUAGAAAAUGUAAAACUAACUUUCAUUAAAUUUUUAAAUGAUCAGUUUUGACAUAACUUGUAUAUCACAUUUUUAAUUAAAUAUUCAAUGGAUUAUAAUUAUAAAUAAAAGUAAUAUUGUUAUAAUUAAAUUGGUUUACUUGGAUUAAAGGUGAUAUGUUGAGAAUUAGCUUCAAUCUUAAAAUUAUUUUUCUAAAAAUGUUUAACCUUUUUGUUACCAUAUUUAUACUGAAAUACAAUGUUGUUUCAAUUAAUUUUGGAAGUAAUGAAGAAUUUAAUAAAAUAAUUUUGUUUUUAAGAUGAUGUUUAGAACAUAAAUUGACAUGAAAUUUUGAUGAAAGCUUUUAAUUUAAAUUUCUUUAAAAUAAGAGUUUGCAUCAUUGAAUCAGAGACAGUUUCAGGUGGGUUGGUAUCAAAAGGGCUAAAUAUUUAAAAUUAUUGAAUUCUUAAAAAAUCAUUCUUUCAUUUUUUUCCCAUUAGUAUUUUUGUUGUGUCUUGCCAUGAUUUUGAAUAGCCAAUAUACAGGGUUAGACUGCUAAACAUUGUUUUCAAAAUAUUAUCUUUUAUGAGUAUUGUGAAUUAAGAGCUAAUAUUUUGCAUAUGACUGGUCUUAGAUUGCACCUUCGAUAGUACUGGGGGAGGGUUAGGUUGAGGGGGUGGUAUUUUUGCUUUAUGUUAUAGAUUGUACUAAAGUUAUUGGAAUUACUAGGCUGCAUUUUGGAAGGUUUCUGUCUUAUCUAAUCUUGGGGAACUGAUUUCAAAACUUUUUCUUAGAUUUUGCAUCAUGUCAAUUUUUUUUCCAGAAAUGUAUUUUUAAAUACUAGCAACUUAGUACUUAUGAAAUGCAAUUGUAUGGUAUAUUUAAUAUAAUUAGUUUACUUUAUGUGAAGAUUUAGCAAUUUACACCUACAUUUAAGUAAUAUAUUGUUUAUAUUAAUGAAAAUUAGAUAUAUUUUGAUUCAUAUUGACCUCUUGUUGCAUUUAGCAAACCUUUAGCAUUAUGGCAGUAAACUGUUAUCAUCCAUACUAAAGAAGUGCAACAAAUCCUUUUUUUCUUUGUUGAUGAAAACUAAAUUGUGUUCCCAGAGCUAGCAGUUUUUUUUUUUAUUCAGUGUAAAUCCCAGUAAUUCUUCUGAGAUCUUUAGAAGAUCUAAAUCAUGCAUUGUUAGUUAAUUUAGGAUGAGUGAAGAAUUUAGGCAUCUUUAUAUUUGCAGGUUGCAGGUAAGUUUCAGUGCUUCCUGCCAAUGUGCAGCAAGCACUAAGAUUCAUUGUUGACAUCAGACUUAUUGAAUACAGUAACAGAUAUUUCAACACAAUAUGGUACUUGUCUUGUGAAUGAAAGCAAAUUUAGGCAAUCUGUCUAUGAAUUAGUAUUGGAGUUAUGUCCUGGGAUAUCAACCAUACAUAAAUAGUGAUCAUCAAAAUGGCUUCUUUGUUCCUUCUAAACUAUUCAUUGGUACACCAAAGCUUAUUGUCUUUCUUAUGCUUUUGGUCAAUCACCUCAGAUUUACAACACCAGCUUGUCUGGGUGAGUGAGGAUCCUAUGGUUUGUCUUGAAUACACAAUUUCACUCUGAAAUGUAUGAAAUAUGCUCUCCUAACAAAGAGCAUAUUUGUAACAAGUUGAUGAUGUUUUUCUAUGGCAAAAGACUCACAAAUCUGACAAGAUAUCCAAGCUGUGUUUCCACUUACUAUACCCACUAGUAUUAUCCAUAUUUUACAAGUUUAGCAUAAUGAUGACAGACAGCCUUGAAAUACAGUAUAAAACUAAUUUUCAUUGAAAGUGAGUACUUAAAGAAAUAAGCAACAAAUGCUGAAAUAAGUAAGGCACAUAGAUCAUUGUAUACAAAUUAACCUGGAAAAAUCUAACAAAAAUACAUUUCAAAAUGUUUUUUCCACUCUCAUAAACUUUCUCAGCCAAUAACUGCCAGGUGAUACUCUAUAUUAAAAAUUUCUGCCAAAUAAUUUCUCUGUUUUAGGAACAUAACCUCAAAAACAUUUCCUUCCAUUAAACUGUAUACUUUUAUGGUGUUGGUAUCUGUCUUUAUUACUACAAUUUUUUUUUUUUUGUCUUUUUUUUUUCUAAAUUAGCAAUUUGGUGAUUGUGUGUAUAAAAUUGUAAAAAAUUAUCUUGGCUUUAAUCUUAAAUGAACAGAAUGGUUUAAAGUGAAGAACACAACUGAUAACUUUCCUGAAAUCAAUGUAAGACAAAAACUGAUAUCAUAUUUGAAAUAAUCAAACUCCAAAUAAACCUAAAACCACCUUCCCCUUCAAGCAAGCAAAACUAGUGUUAUUUGUGAAAUGAACUGUGCUAAACAUGCUCCACAUUACACCUCUAUAUACAAAGGCAACAGUUUACCAUACUCUGGUUAAGCUUAAGAUUACAGGAAAUGUUUUUUUCAACUUGACCAACCUUGCAAAAAGAAAAGAAAACAUGCUGAUAAAAAUAACUUAGGUAAAGGGUCAUAUGUUUCCUGGAGUUAGAGCAUUCAUAUAGCCAGUUCUAAUAGGGUUGAGAAAGCCUCAAAGUUUUUCAGCCAUCUGAAGGACAUGGGAGGGAGAAUGAGAAUCUUUGUGAAUAAAAAGAAAUUCAGUAUCAACCAACUGCAGUAUAAUUGCAGUCAAGCCUUCUGAAAUGCAAAGCAAGAAUCCAGCCUUAGUAAUGAUGUUUAAGGUUGCUGUAAAAUUGGUCAUAUCUGAAUCUAUAUGACUUUUUGGAUGUGGAGAGUUAUGGAUAAGUCCACUUGUUAUAACUGUGUCAUUAUACUGUGAUCUGCUAUUAGGAUUGCAUUUAGGUCAAAAACAUGGCUGAGGCAAAAAAAAAAAGGCUUGUUCAGCCUUCUAAAUUUGUAAUCAGUCAGUUACAGCUUUUGAUGGUAGACAUAUUUAGUAGCAGCUUUAUUUUCCAAUAAAUAUACAUGUGAAGAAGUUUCUUACUUCUGACUUUUCAUUUGCCUUUGUUGCAGGCUUUGAAAUGUUUCAACUCAGAGUUUCAGUUUAGCCAGCCAACCUUGUAUUUGGGGUUUUGUAUGUAAUUUGUAUCUCCUAUUAUUUUUCAAAUAAUUCUCUGAAUCCCAUCUCUAUUUUUACAUUUUUAUCCCGUCUCAAAUUUUCUACAGUAUGAUCAACUUUGCAUUAUGUAUGUUAUGGAUUCUCUUAGUGUCUCUGCAUAUGACUAUGCUUCUUUCAAAAGUUGUUUUAUAAAAGACACAAAAACCCAGCAGGGUUUAAAAAAAGAAAAUAACUAAACUGGCAAGGAUUUGUAGGUGAUUAGCAGACCUUAUUUUUAGAAACAUUGAUUAAGAGAAUUCAAAAGUUAAAUUCCAGCUACUUGACAACCCUAACAAAAUCUUUUUGUCUUUUGAUAGUAAAACUAUUAACUGUUGCUGUUAUAGAAAAUAGAGAUAGUGCAAUAGUUUGAAAAAUGUAUGGGUAUACAAUUUUUCAAUAGGAGUAUAUAUGUUUUGACACAUCCAGAAUAAAACUAUUCACAUAUUUAGUUGUUAUUACUGCUCUAUUAUGAAUUCUUCACUUUUUUAAUGCCUUCAUAGUCUCUAAUCUUGGACAGAACACUAAACUAUGCAUGCAAUACUGCAUGACUCAGGAUUUCAGACUGCUUAUGUCAAUUAUAUUAGAGCUUUAAUCAAGUAGUACUGAACUAGCUUUAUACAUACUCUGAUUAAAAUCAAAGCUUUUCUAAAAAUUGAAAAUUUGCUUGGAAAUAUUUUGUUCUCAGUUAUUCUAUUGAGCUGGACAUUUCUUUUUGUGAUAUUGGAGAAAAAAAUGAUUAUUUUUGUACAUUUUCUCCAUUUCCAUCUUUGUUAUAUUUGUUAUAUUCUAAUGUAUAUAACAUAUAUUUAACACCAUUAUAAAAUUUCAGUUAUUAAAAUAAUCUUUGCAAACAAUAUUUCAAGACAGCUGUCUUUCAAAAGUGACUUUAUGGAAAGUUUUCAAUAUUUACUGUCAGAGUUUGUUUGAAUUGGAUUGUUCUCCAUUAUAUUUAGUAGAUAUUCAAAUUCAUCUAUUGAUUUCUGGACUUUUCCAUUGGGUUUCUUCUGAUUAAAAUUUAUGCUCUUUUAGAACUCUUAUGCUUUAUCUUCUUGUUUCAAUCACUGGACAGCAACAGUGAUGGGUCACUACCCAGUUCUAAAUUUUUAAGCCUGGUAUUUAUUCUGGUCUCUUUUACUGAAUUUCUAAGUUAUGGGGAUGCAAACAAACUAAUACUGAUUGUCAAACAAUGUGGGAGGACAAGCACACACACACACACACACACAUACACAAUGGGCUUCCACUCAGUUUCUGCUGUGAUCACAAGACCUGGGGCUAUAGUGGAAGAUACUUGCCCAAGGUGUCGAGCAGUAGGACUGAAAUUGAAACUACAUUGAUGCAAAGUGAGCUUCUUAACUAUAUGACUUUUUUUACUUUGAAAUACUGGGAGUAAACUGCUAUCUCAAAGGUAAUACUUUGACAAUAACUUGUGCUUCCAUGUAUAACAAAUUUUUUAUAAACAUUCUUUCACUGGUACCAUUCAGACUACAUCGAUGCUGGGCAUGUAAUGUGCAUGAAGGACAACUUAAGGGAACCUAUGGAAGACGGGGAUCGAGGAAGACUUACUAGUGGUGAAAGCUGAUCUGAAGAUGCUGCACCUUAUAAAAGACCAUACUGGUCUACAGCAGAUCCACCCACUCAUAGCAACAUGUACUCUAACACAAACAGUAACUUUUAGAAAUGCAAUGUUUUGUACCCUGCUUUAUAAUCUUGACAUAUAUUGAUUACUCACUUUCCUUCCUCUUGCUUAUUUCCUUAUCAGUCAUCUCCCCCCCCCCCCCGUCACUGCUAAUAGCACCAUUCUCAUAACUCUGCCUCCUCAUCUUCAAAAAGCUGAAUUAGAUCACUAUCAUCUGUCUGUCAAAUGUACUAUUCACUCUGCUGUGCUGCCAGCCAACAAUCUCUCUAUCUCUCUCUCUCUCUCUCUCAUAAACCACCUUUAUUGCAACCCCUUACCUACUUUUGCCUUUAUCUCAUCACCCAUCCCUACUGUUGUCCAUUUUUGCUAUUGUCAAUCACCCUGCCACUACUACUUGACUUUUCCCAUCGUACUGCUCUUUUCACCCAUUCAUUCUUACUUUUUACCACCUCAGCUAUUACCAAAGAUUGCCCUUCCAGCAUCACCCCUACAUAUCCUUGCCUUCUUCCCAAUACAUUUCUGCUGCUCUCAUUAUAUCCAUUCUGCUCAAAUGUCAUUGUUCUCUCUCUCAUUCCUCUGAGCAAAUGACACCUAUGCCUACACCUCUAUUCCCCAUCUCCUGUACCCAUUUCUGGUGCUAUUGUUCUCUCUCAUUUCCCAUCUUGGUUUACAUGUUUUACAUUACUGUGUACAAUCUACAUUUAUUACAUACAAUGCACCCCAAUUUGAGAAAGUGUAGGGUUGUAGGAUCCCUCUAGUCCUGUCUCACCAAGGGCUGCUCAAUCUUUCUAGUAUGGUGCCAUGAGGAAAUGCACACAGCACAUUCUGUAAAACAGUUGGCAAAAGGAAGGGCAUCCAGCUGUAGAAACCAAACCAAAUAUGAGCACCAGUUUAUGGUUAAAGUAGCUCCCAAUGGAAGAUGACUCACACUAUGAAGACCCAUCCGAUCCAUACCAGCAUGGAAAGCAGAUAUAAGAUGAUGCCUGACUGACACAUUUGUUUUUCCUUCCAAAUUGCUGGAAACAGUUGUUUACCCUCAAGUCAACUUUGAUUGAAUUAAAUAUUUAUGAUGAAAGCCUUCCACCUGU